rnacentral:misc_RNA from 1 species
AAAAAAUUUAUUUUCUCAGUAAAAUUCCCCUCUAAGUAAGUUUAUAUAUUUUAAUUACAUUAAAAAAAACCUUACCCUGCCUCAAAAAAAGCUUGCUCCAAACGAAGCAGUGUUAGUUGUUAGAGAAGAAGGGUUGUAGAUAGUUGCCAUUUUUGUUGGAGAUUGUUGCAAAGGAGAGAAAGAGAGGUUGAUGAAGAUACUUGAAGGUUUUAGGCUACUCAGAGCAUGAGCUAAUUUUGGGCAUCGGCCCAAAAAGCCAAUUAUUUUUCGUCUAGAAACGCCACUCUUGCACACCCAUAACUAACGACGCCUCUUAGAAGAAUGACAAUCGUCGAUGGUCUCCGCCAGCACCGGCUCCGGCGACCCAAAUUGCAGUUUCUGCCCAGUGUUAAAGAAUCAAGCUUUGUACAGGGAGAAUAUAUGGAUUUUGUAGAGAGAUUAAUUUGCGAUCGAGAGUUGAAGCAUUAUGGAAGAAAGAUGAACUUGGUGAAAUUGAGCUAACAGGAGUGACAUGUAACUGUUAAAGAUUAAGAUGCUCGCAAGAAAAUGAUGACGUGUGGCAGGCUCCUGCGUGACACAUGCUAGUAGUUGGUACUGGUGAUUGCCAGCCUGCCGCCAUUAUAUUUUAUAUCAUUUAUAAAUGCUAUUAAUGGCAAUAGUGGUUAAUGGUGCGUUGUUUUCGGCUUAUACAGAAACCUUUAAGAGUAAGGACUUUAAUUAAAUUUUACCAUAUCUCUUUGUCUUUGAAUUAUUUUAUUUUGCUGUAAAAUUUCAUUCAAA